CGGUGAAAGAGGAUCUUGCUCCUCUGGAUCAGUGGCGAACGGGUGAGUAACACGUGAGUAACCUGCCCUUGACUCUGGGAUAAGCACUGGAAACGGUGUCUAAUACCGGAUACGAGCUUCAGCCGCAUGGCUAGGAGCUGGAAAGAAUUUCGGUCAAGGAUGGACUCGCGGCCUAUCAGCUAGUUGGUGAGGUAACGGCCCACCAAGGCGACGACGGGUAGCCGGCCUGAGAGGGUGACCGGCCACACUGGGACUGAGACACGGCCCAGACUCCUACGGGAGGCAGCAGUGGGGAAUAUUGCACAAUGGGCGCAAGCCUGAUGCAGCAACGCCGCGUGAGGGACGACGGCCUUCGGGUUGUAAACCUCUUUUAGUAGGGAAGAAGCGAAAGUGACGGUACCUGCAGAAAAAGCACCGGCUAACUACGUGCCAGCAGCCGCGGUAAUACGUAGGGUGCAAGCGUUAUCCGGAAUUAUUGGGCGUAAAGAGCUCGUAGGCGGUUUGUCGCGUCUGCUGUGAAAACUGGAGGCUCAACCUCCAGCCUGCAGUGGGUACGGGCAGACUAGAGUGCGGUAGGGGAGAUUGGAAUUCCUGGUGUAGCGGUGGAAUGCGCAGAUAUCAGGAGGAACACCGAUGGCGAAGGCAGAUCUCUGGGCCGUAACUGACGCUGAGGAGCGAAAGCAUGGGGAGCGAACAGGAUUAGAUACCCUGGUAGUCCAUGCCGUAAACGUUGGGAACUAGAUGUAGGGACCAUUCCACGGUUUCUGUGUCGCAGCUAACGCAUUAAGUUCCCCGCCUGGGGAGUACGGCCGCAAGGCUAAAACUCAAAGGAAUUGACGGGGGCCCGCACAAGCGGCGGAGCAUGCGGAUUAAUUCGAUGCAACGCGAAGAACCUUACCAAGGCUUGACAUAUACCGGAAAAGUUCAGAAAUGUUCUCCCCGCAAGGUCGGUAUACAGGUGGUGCAUGGUUGUCGUCAGCUCGUGUCGUGAGAUGUUGGGUUAAGUCCCGCAACGAGCGCAACCCUCGUUCUAUGUUGCCAGCACGUAAUGGUGGGAACUCAUAGGAGACUGCCGGGGUCAACUCGGAGGAAGGUGGGGAUGACGUCAAAUCAUCAUGCCCCUUAUGUCUUGGGCUUCACGCAUGCUACAAUGGCCGAUACAAAGGGCUGCAAUACCGCGAGGUGGAGCGAAUCCCAAAAAGUCGGUCUCAGUUCGGAUUGAGGUCUGCAACUCGACCUCAUGAAGUCGGAGUCGCUAGUAAUCGCAGAUCAGCAACGCUGCGGUGAAUAUGUUCCCGGGCCUUGUACACACCGCCCGUCAAAUCAUGAACAUCGAUAGUUUGAGCAUCCUCUGGAUAAGUCGUAAC
rnacentral:rRNA from 1 species